rnacentral:lncRNA from 1 species
GGGCGAAGUGACUAAAAAUUGGCGAGCGGAGCGAGGCGAAAAAUUUUUGGGACUUUUUAGACUAAAAGCAUAAAAUUAGUGUAAAAUGCACUUUUUAAGCGUUUCUUGACUUUGGACAUGUAUAUUUUAUAGUUGCUGUAAAGUGUAAGAGUUGGACAUUUUUUAUGCCGUAUUCUCCACAUUAAUUGUCUAUUAUAAAAUGAUGGGAUGGAUCCAAAGCUAUGUACUAAUAUAUUU